AUAGUAGCUGAUUGAUGUAAUGAAUGCAAUGCAAGAAUUCUUAGGCUACUGUUGAUUCCUUUGUGUUGAGAUUUAAAUGUUGAAUAAGAUGCAUACCUGGUGUUUGAUGAACGUUCUGAGAGAUAAAUGAGAUGACGUAUGUUUGAUGCGUGGUAUAGUAUGCGUAUACUUCUAUUACUACCCUUCCAUGCAUAAUUAUUAGCUUUUCAUUCCCACUCCCACGCAUUCUCUUUUCCAUGUGAGUGAACUACACCAUGCAAUUUCAGGGGCUGUUAUCCACAUCGUUGAUUAAGGAAAAAGCUUAUGCAAGGUUAUCAAGGAAUGUGAGAAAGCAACACAUGAGCAAGAAAAACAAAUUGAAGAAAGCAAAACGUAGCACCAAAGGAUGGUUGUGAAAUGAAAAUGAUGGGCCUUAUUGAUCAUAUUAUUCAUAGACAUGGUUUUGAUUGGGAAUCAUAACCAAUUUGUUGAUAGUCUGUGUGCAUUUGUGGUCAAGGGUCACUGGGGCGAUCUGUCAAAGGUGAAGAAUGUUUCUGCUCUCACUUCCUCUACCAUUCACCAGGUACUAUUGCAGCUCUCACUCUAUGGUUAUGGGCUCUCUUAUUCCUUCCCAUUCUUCAAAUGGCUUGACUCCAUCCCACAUUAUAGCCAUUCCUUGCAAUGUUCAUGGGCCAUGAUUCACAUCCUUACCGAACAUAAGCAUUUCAAAACUGCACAACACAUGCUUGAAAAAAUUGCUCACAAGGAUUUUCUUUCAUCCCCUUCAGUUUUGACCACUUUGGUGAGGACUCAUGACAACCAGGAAGUUAAUUCUCAAGUGCUGAGCUGGCUUGUCAUACAUUAUGCCAAGUCAAAGAUGACACAGGAUGCAAUUCAAGUUUUUGAGCAGAUGAGGUUGCAUGAAGUCAAACCUCAUUUGCAUGCUUGUACUGUUCUUUUGAAUUCCUUGUUGAAGGAUGGGGUUACUCACAUGGUGUGGAAAAUUUACAAGAAAAUGGUUCAAGUUGGGGUUGUUCCCAAUACAUACAUUUACAAUUGUUUAUUCCAUGCUUGUUCAAAAGCAGGAGAUGUGGAAAGGGCAGAACAGUUAUUAAAUGAGAUGGAUGUAAAGGGUUUGCUUCCUGAUAUCUUCACAUACAAUACUUUGAUAUCGUUAUAUUGCAAGAAAGGUAUGCAUUAUGAGGCUUUAUCCAUCCAGAACAGAAUGGAAAGAGAGGGGAUAAACCUUGAUAUUGUUAGUUAUAACUCUCUUAUUUAUCGAUUUUGCAAAGAAGGCAGGAUGAGAGAAGCUAUGAGGAUGUUUAGUGAAAUAAAAAAUGCAACUCCCAAUCAUGUGACAUAUACUACAUUGAUUGAUGGUUAUUGUAAAACAAAUGAACUGGAAGAAGCUUUGAAAAUGCGUGAAAUGAUGGAGGCUAAGGGAUUGUACCCUGGAGUUGUUACUUUUAAUUCAAUUUUGCGCAAGCUGUGCCAAGAUGGCAGGAUAAGGGAUGCAAACAAACUCUUGAAUGAGAUGAGUGAAAGGAAAAUUCAAGCUGACAAUAUCACAUGCAACACACUAAUUAAUGCUUACUGCAAGAUUGGAGAUUUGAAAUCAGCUUUGAAAUUUAAGAACAAGCUGUUAGAAGCUGGUCUAAAACCUGAUCCAUUUACAUAUAAGGCACUGAUUCAUGGGUUCUGCAAGACGAAUGAACUAGAAAGGGCAAAGGAGUUAAUGUUCAGCAUGCUUGAUGCUGGAUUUACCCCCAGUUAUUGCACAUACUCAUGGAUUGUAGAUGGCUACAAUAAGAAAGACAAUAUGGAUGCAGUUUUAGCACUUCCAGAUGAGUUUCUGAGUAGAGGUCUUUGUCUUGAUGUUUCAGUAUACAGGGCAUUGAUAAGAAGGUCAUGCAAGGUAGAAAGGGUUGAAUGUGCUGAAAGGUUAUUCAAUCAUAUGGAAGGAAAGGGUAUAUCAGGUGAAAGUGUUAUCUACACCAGUCUUGCAUAUGCUUAUUGGAAAGCGGGGAAUGUACGAGCUGCCUCAAGUAUGCUAGAAGAGAUGGCUAGGAGAAGGUUGAUGAUCACAGUCAAACUUUAUAGAUGCUUUAGCACUUCUGAUGCUCAUGAAAACAAAGUGUCACAGUUCUUCUGGAAUCAUGUGGUCGAUAGGGGUCUGAUGUCAAGAAAUACAAUGUAUAAAAUACAGCAGAAGCUGAUAUGAUGAUAAUAAUGCUUAUGAAAGAACCCUCACAUCUUGAAUAUUCUUUCUAGACUUGUUUGCAAGGGCCAAUGCAUUGCUUCUGGUUAUCAGUGUCUUCCUUCAUGUUUUCACUUUCCAUUAGAAUUUGGAAAAUCAUCGAGAUUUGGGAAAAUAUAUGAUAGGGACCUUUUACAAACCUUACAUGUUAACUAUCAUAAAUCAUCUUGUUUUAAAACCUAUUUAUGCAUCAUUUUGUUUAUAAAAGUUAUGACUCUUUACAGUAUGUGACUGUGAACAAUCACUGCAGUUUUUCUUCUAAAAAGGUUAUAUCAUAGAAGAACUUCACUGUGUUCUCCCUCCCUGCAUUUUCAGCAUAUUGGGAUGAAAACGCAUCUUCUAUGCAGCUAAGUCGUCAUGAUCAAGCAGGUUUACCAGCAGGAAUUUCAACGAGUUGUGAAGGUUACAUUGGCUUGAGCAUCAUACAAUUUUCGCAUCCUAAAAUGCUGUGGAACGUGGUUGAUUGUUCAAUAUCAAGCAGCAUCCAGUACGAUAUGGACUUCAGAGGUGAGACAAACACACGUUCCAAAUCAAGACAUAGUGCUUUUUGGAAUUUCAACUUGAAAGAGUUUGCAUCAACAGUAUGCCAUUUGUGCCCAAGUUCAAUGUAUCUCACGGUGUUGCAUACUUGCAUCAUCUAUUUGAUUGUGAUGUAACAAAAGCGUGAUAUAAUUGUCAACAGUAAACACUAUUUUGAAAAUUUUCUUUUGAAUAUUGUUGCUUUUUAGAUUCAAUGAUUACAACUGUGCAA